rnacentral:rRNA from 1 species
GUCGUGCGAGAAGUAUCUUCGGAUAUGAGUAGAGCGGCGGACGGGUGAGUAACGCGUAGGAAUCUACCUAGUAGAAGGGGAUAGCCCGGGGAAACUCGGAUUAAUACCGUAUACCUCCUUUGGGAGAAAGAAGGCCUCUCUUUGAAACUUUCGCUACUAGAUGAGCCUGCGUAAGAUUAGCUUGUUGGUGAGGUAAAGGCUCACCAAGGCGACGAUCUUUAGCGGGUCUGAGAGGACGAUCCGCCACAUUGGGACUGAGACACGGCCCAGACUCCUACGGGAGGCAGCAGUGGGGAAUAUUGGACAAUGGGCGCAAGCCUGAUCCAGCCAUACCGCGUGUGUGAAGAAGGCCCUAGGGUUGUAAAGCACUUUAAGUUGGGAAGAAAAGUUAUUGGUUAAUACCCAAUGACCGUGACAUUACCUUCAGAAUAAGGACCGGCUAAUUCCGUGCCAGCAGCCGCGGUAAUACGGAAGGUCCAAGCGUUAAUCGGAAUUACUGGGCGUAAAGCGCGCGUAGGUGGUUUAUUAAGUUGGAUGUGAAAUCCCCGGGCUCAACCUGGGAACUGCAUCCAAAACUGAUUCACUAGAGUACGAUAGAGGGAGGUAGAAGUCACAGUGUAGCGGUGGAAUGCGUAGAUAUUGUGAAGAAUACCAAUGGCGAAGGCAGCCUCCUGGAUCUGUACUGACACUAAGGUGCGAAAGCGUGGGUAGCGAACAGGAUUAGAUACCCUGGUAGUCCACGCCGUAAACGAUGUCAACUAGCUGUUGGGAAACUAUGUUUUUCAGUGGCGCAGCUAACGUAGUAAGUUGACCGCCUGGGGAGUACGGCCGCAAGGCUAAAACUCAAAUGAAUUGACGGGGACCCGCACAAGCGGUGGAGCAUGUGGUUUAAUUCGAUGCAACGCGAAAAACCUUACCUAUACUUGACAUACUUGGAAUGCUUUGUAAUGAAGCAGUGCCUUCGGGAGCCAGGAUACAGGUGCUGCAUGGCUGUCGUCAGCUCGUGUCGUGAGAUGUUCCGUUAAGUCGGAUAACGAGCGCAACCCUUACCCUUAUUUGCCAGCGAUUCGGUCGGGAACUAUAAGGGGACUGCCG